rnacentral:rRNA from 1 species
GNCGUCAAAUCAUCAUGCCCCUUAUGACCUGGGCUACACACGUACUACAAUGGCCAGUACAACGGGAAGCGAAGUCGCGAGACGGAGCCAAUCCUAUCAAAGCUGGUCUCAGUUCGGAUUGCAGGCUGCAACCCGCCUGCAUGAAGUCGGAAUUGCUAGUAAUCGCGGAUCAGCAUGCCGCGGUGAAUACGUUCCCGGGUCUUGUACACACCGCCCGUCACACCACGAGAGUUAACAACACCCGAAGUCGGUGGGGUAACCGCAAGGAGCCAGCCGCCGAAGGUGGGGUAGAUGAUUGGGGUGAAGUCGUAACAAGGUAGCCGUAUCGGAAGGUGCGGUUGGAUCACACC